rnacentral:rRNA from 1 species
AUAUCAAUAAGGCGAGGAACAGAAACCAACAGGGAUUCCCCCAGUAGCGGCGAGCGAAGCGGGAAGAGCUCAAAUUUGAAAGCUGGCGUCCUACGGGCGUCCGCAUUGUAAUCUGCAGAGGAACGUUUGGCUGCGGUAAGGGUCCAAGUCUUCUGGAAUGAAGCGCCUUAGAGGGUGAGAGCCCCGUAUUCGAUCCACAACCAAAGCCGUGCAAGCGUCCUUCGACGAGUCGAGUUGUUUGGGAAUGCAGCUCAAAGCGGGUGGUAAAUUCCAUCUAAAGCUAAAUAUUGGCCAGAGACCGAUAGCGCACAAGUA